UACGGGGGGGGCAAGCGUUGUUCGGAAUUACUGGGCGUAAAGGGCUCGUAGGCGGCCAACUAAGUCGGAUGUGAAAUCCCCAGGCUUAACCUGGGAAUUGCAUCCGAUACUGGAUGGCUUGAAUCCGGGAGAGGGAUGCGGAAUUCCAGGUGUAGCGGUGAAAUGCGUAGAUAUCUGGAGGAACACCGGUGGCAAAGGCGGCAUCCUGGACCGGCAUUGACGCUGAGGAGCGAAAGCCAGGGGAGCAAACGGG
rnacentral:rRNA from 1 species